GUUGCCUGAGAAAUGAAUAGAAGUUCAGCCUCUCGGAUUCUUCCCUCACCUCUGUCUUCCUCCCCCUGACAGCCAAAAGAAGCCGAAAGAGUUAGUCAAAGGGGGUACAGCCCCUUUGACACAAGAUACAACUUUUCCAGGAGGGUAAAGAUCAUAUUUAAAUACUAAGGUAAAAUGUUUUGGUGGGCCUAAAAGCAGCCACCCCCAUAGAAUGCGUUAAAGCUCAGACAUAUCUAUCACCCCCGAUCCUGACAAUUUCAUCUUAACCCCCUAACCCUACCAGGCCGUCCCAUGCAUGCAUGGGAGCGACCAUGCUAAUAUGAGUAAUAAGAGAGCAUUAGCCUCUCUCCUUGCACAAGUGUAACUCGGAACGGACCCCCCGCCGAACCUUAACGACCCCAAACAAAGAGGGCCCUGAACAACAGACCCGCCAACUAGAAAAAUACUCAGCAAUCAAAUCGUUAAACCCACACUGGUGUGCCUUCAAGGAAAGACUAAAAGAAAAAGAAGGAACUCGGCAAACACAUAAAGCCUCGCCUGUUUACCAAAAACAUCGCCUCUUGCAAAAUUAACGAAUAAGAGGUCCUGCCUGCCCUGUGACCAUGAGUUCAACGGCCGCGGUAUUUUG
rnacentral:rRNA from 1 species